rnacentral:autocatalytically_spliced_intron from 1 species
UUGAGCCGGUUGCCCGGAAAGCGGGCAUGGCCGGUUCUGAGCCUCGAUCCACCGAUGAAGGUUUGAC